GGAUGUGAGUGUGUUCUGGCUGUGACAUCUGAUCACCAAAGUUUGUUCUGCUGAUCUGGCUGGUUAGGCGGUGUCUCCUUCCUCCUCCACUGCUCCAUUUGUGUCCCUCCCAAAGCUGCAUGCUCUGUCGAAGAUGAUGACCACCCUGAUAGAGGAGGACCAUUCCUCGGUCAAGGGUGUAUGAGUAGCUGUGCUCUCCUGCUAGAACCUCCAAACAAGAUAAAGCAAGACCCAUAUGACAAGAAAUGUAACUUUUGUAUCUGACAAGGUCAGU
rnacentral:snRNA from 1 species